UAUAAAAUCAUUUGAGUGUAUGUAUUUGUCUACAUAUUGUAGUGAGGGAAAUUACAGGGUGCAAGAAUGAUUGACAGGGUGUGAGAUCAGAAUCUUCCUGGGCCUGGUUGGGUCAGAAUUCCUUGGGACAGUUGAUCAGCUGCCACUCUGGACCCGAGACAGGAAGGGGACAGGUGUUUGUGUGAAUCAUCUUGAAACCCAUUCAUCAAACAACUGGCCUUGAGGAUUUUCUAGCUGUGGUGAGUGAAUAUCUCCAGUCUUCCUGGUGGACAGCCAGACUGGGGAAAAGAUCUCUACCCUGCUGGGACACCUGUGGACAUUACACCUGGGAUUCCUGUUUCUGGCUCACCAAGGACUCUGUGAGAUACUGAUCCCCUGUUGGACUUGCCUUUAGACAACUUAGGUUUUGGUCUAGUAGAAUUGCUUUGGAAAUGUAAAGUUAAAGGAAUUACACAAGAUCACAUUGGCAAUAUGAGACAGAGGAGAAGUCUGGAUCCACAUCUUUCUGAUUCAGGUGAACCAUCCACCAUCAACUUGUUAAUAAACAUCUACUAUGUGCCAGACGUGUGCUGGAGAGAUGCAAAGUUAAAAAGGAAACACAUAUUGUACUCAGAAAGAAGCCUGUCCCAGAGUAGGAGCUGUUUUUUGAUCUUCUAAAAAUAAAUUCUAUUUUCUGAAACA
rnacentral:lncRNA from 1 species